GUCUAUGACCAAAUAAACUUUUUGUCAUAUGUUGAGGAAAGAACGGUGGUAGUAGUGAAAGUCGCUGGGUCGCAUCCGACUCUGCGACCCCAUGGUCUAUACAGUCCAUGGAAUUCUCCAGGCCAGAAUACUGGAGUGGGUAGUAUUUCCUUUCUGCGUGGCAUCUUCCCAAACCAGGGAUCUAACCCAGGUCUCCCGCCUUGCAGGCGGAUUCUUUACCACCUGAGCCACAAGGGAAGCCCUGUUAGUAAGAUUCAUCCAGUGUUUUAGCAACAACAUCUAAGCAGCCACGGUAUGGUCAGUGUUGGGGACAGACUUAAAAAUCUGCAAUCGCCUCCUGGAAAUUUUGAGGAUUUGGGUCACUUUGCUCUCCCCCUCCGGAUGCGAGGAAAACAUGCACUGGGCACAGUGGAGAGGAGGAAGCUGGCGGGUUCCGCGGACCAGAGGCGCUGCUGCGGCGGGGCUCCACGCCGCCAUGCCCGCAGAGGCGGCCGGCCUUCCCAGCUGGAAGGCCAAACUCCACAUGGCUCGGUUCCAGAGACACAAGGUCAAAACCUACAGUCUGAGACUGGAGGACUAAGGACAUUCUGGUGGUCACAGGAAUUCCAGGUUAAGAAUCUGCCUUGCAACAAAGAGAAUUUGUGUUCAAUCCUUCGUAAAAGCAGGGCACACCCC
ensembl:lncRNA